GCGGAUGUGGUGCACGGUGCACAGCUGCCUUCAUUAUUGGGAGAAUUGAAGAAUAAAGCAGCUGCCGGGGUUCGACUCCCUGCGUCCGCG